rnacentral:rRNA from 1 species
CCUACGGGGGGCAGCAGUGAGGAAUAUUGGUCAAUGGACGAGAGUCUGAACCAGCCAAGUCGCGUGAAGGAUGACUGCCCUAUGGGUUGUAAACUUCUUUUAUAAAGGAAUAAAACGAGGCACGUGUGCCUUUUUGCGUGUACUUUAUGAAUAAGGAUCGGCUAACUCCGUGCCAGCAGCCGCGGUAAUACGGAGGAUCCGAGCGUUAUCCGGAUUUAUUGGGUUUAAAGGGAGCGUAGAUGGGUUGUUAAGUCAGUUGUGAAAGUUUGCGGCUCAACCGUAAAAUUGCAAUUGAUACUGGAAGUCUUGAGUACAGUUGAGGUAGGCGGAAUGCGUGGUGUAGCGGUGAAAUGCUUAGAUAUCACGAAGAACCCCGAUUGCGAAGGCAGCUUACUAAACUGUGACUGACAUUGAUGCUCGAAAGUGUGGGUAUCAAACAGGAUUAGAUACCCUUGUAGUC